rnacentral:rRNA from 1 species
GAUGAACGCUGGCGGCGUGCCUAAUACAUGCAAGUCGAGCGAACAGACGAGGAGCUUGCUCCUCUGACGUUAGCGGCGGACGGGUGAGUAACACGUGGAUCACCUACCUAUAAGACUGGGAUAACUUCGGGAAACCGGAGCUAAUACCGGAUAAUAUAUUGAACCGCAUGGUUCGAUAGUGAAAGACGGUUUUGCUGUCACUUAUCGAUGGAUCCGCGCCGCAUUAGCUAGUUGGUAAGGUAACGGCUUACCAAGGCAACGAUGCGUAGCCGACCUGAGAGGGUGAUCGGCCACACUGGAGCUGAGACACGGUCCAGACUCCUACGGGAGGCAGCAGUAGGGAAUCUUCCGCAAUGGGCGAGAGCAUGACGGAGCAACGCGGCGUGAGUGAUGAAGGUCUUCGGAUCGUAAAACUCUGUUAUUAGGGAAGAACAAAUGUGUAAGUAACUAUGCACGUCUUGACGGUAACUGAUCAGAAAGCCACGGCUAACUACGUG